CGUAGGGUGCGAGCGUUAAUCGGAAUUACUGGGCGUAAAGUGUGCGCAGGCGGCCGCGCAUGUCGAGUGUGAAAUCCCCGGGCUUAACUUGGGAAUUGCGCUCGAAACUACGUGGCUGGAGUGUGGCAGAGGAAGGUGGAAUUCCAGGUGUAGCGGUGAAAUGCGUAGAGAUCUGGAGGAACACCGAUGGCGAAGGCAGCCUUCUGGGCCAACACUGACACUCAUGCACGAAAGCGUGGGGAGCAAACAGGAUUAGAUACCCUGGUAGUCCACGCCCUAAACGAUGAUGACUAGUUGUUGGAGGAGUUAAAUCCUUUAGUAACGCAGCUAACGCGUGAAGUCAUCCGCCUGGGGAGUACGGUCGCAAGAUUA
rnacentral:rRNA from 1 species